CCUGUCUCAAAUCAAAAACCAAUACAAAGAAGAAAAAUGAAAGAAACCGAAAAUGGAGGAAACAGCAACCAAAAUGCCUGUUGACUGGAGAAUGUUUGUGCCCAUGUGGUCCAGGCACAUGCGAGGUGAGUUUUUGCCACUGUGGAGAUGAAUUCUUUCGGGUUCACAUGAAGAUGAGGGUGAUCAACAGUGCAGGGACUCACAGUGCAGCCUUGAAGGGAAAGAGGGAAUGUCGGGAGAUUGUGUCCCACGUGGUUCACAUGCAUUCAGUGAACCGCUUACAAAAGCAGCAAAGGCCAGAGAGAGCGCAAGAUUGGGUGUGGGUGCCUGUGCUGGGGAGGUGGGAAGGUUGGUCUCUGUGAACGUGGGGGAGCGGGGACUUACUGCCCGUGUGGUGGGGCUUGGGUUGGGUGGAGUGUUUGUGACGUCUCAAAGAUAGCGUCUAGGAAAAGGCAGCAGGAUGCCAAGUCUGGAGGCCCCGGAUCAGUGGUGUGGCACAGCGACGUGUGGACAACCUGGUUGGUCCAAAAGACUUAGUCCCAGCAGUGCUAAUCAAUGGGUGUGGGCCUCCCCCAUCUCCACGUGUGGGGCAGCAGAUGAGACGGUGCUUGCCACCUUGUCAAUGGCUGUGAGGACCAAGAGGGAGAUACAGCAGAGCUCAGAGCAGACAAGCAAAGGAAACAUCAAAUGCCAAGGGGAUCUGAAGACUUCCUGCCACAUCUGCAAGAAGUCAGGACUGUGGGUGCUGCCCCGGAGGCUGCUGGGGAGCACAGAGACUCCUCAGGGAGCACGUUGUGUACCUGCAGCCGUCUUCCCCACUGGGCCAUGCAGGUGGCCUGGCACACCCCACAGAGGGCGACUUGGGAUCCUUCUUCAGUCCAUGCUCUGAAGGAGCAAAUGCGUGACUGUCCCUGACCACAAGCAGCCCUCGCACACAGACCCCACCUGCCUCAGCACCCUGCGGCCCUCUCCGCUGGAUUCCUAGACGCCAUGGAGAUGACUGCUGACCUCCGCCCAGCCCGUCGUCCUCCACCCAGCCUGUCAUCCUCUGCCCAGCCCGUCGUCCUCCAACCAGCCCACCGUCCUCCGCUUUCAGAAACGCACAGCUCACUGCCUCAAGCUUGGGCUGGCAUCAGGCUGGCAGCCAGCAGUGGGAGGUGUGUGUGCUUUGUGUAUGUGAGUGUGCAGCAUGUGGUGUGUCUCUUCCUCCUCCUGUGUCUCUCCUUUUGCAUUCUAGCUUGCCAAUCACUUUGAGAGGGGUCAGCAUGUGAAGAGAUAUCAAAGAUUUCACUACUCGAACCCGUGUCAGAAGCUGACCACACCCCAAGCUAGUCAAGUGUUUAGAACGGAGCCAUAGUCUGAUGGGUGUUUCUGUGGAGGCCUCUCCUGCAGUUCUCUUGAACCUGGCCUGCUGUGUCUCUAUUCCACCUGGUCCCUUGAGAAUCCUCCAGAAGCCAGAUGACUCCUGCAUCCGUCUCCUCCUUCUGUGCUCCAGUCCCUCUCCCUGAGGGCAGCCUAUUGACCAGGUUGCAAGAAGAACCCAGGCUGACUUUCUCUCCAUGGGGCCCUCAUCUGAUCCACUGAAAAUACUCACAUAUCUCCAGUGCCAGCCUCAGAGGCACAGUUGUUUCCUUUCGGUCAAUAUUUGCCUGGAGGUUUUUUUUUUUCAUUCUGUGACUUUCAACCUUUCUGUAAGUUGUGUUUUAGAUAUUUCUUAUUUAAACAUCCUAUAGAGAUA